rnacentral:lncRNA from 1 species
CCAGCCCACUACAAAGACCCCACUACUAAGUAGGCCCAUCAAUCACAUGCUCUCAAGAAUUUAACAGCCCAUGAUUGCCGCUAGGCCGAGGCCGACCGCCGAAACAAUUAAUACGGUAGAUGUUUUCCUUUUUUUAAUUUUAAAGUUCGUUGAAUUUAUUUAUUGUGAGUUUAAAUGAAGAUAUAUUUCCAAUAAAUCUUCAACUCCUUACUUCCUCAAAAUUAAUUAAAUAAUGACAAUAAUCUUAAUGCAAAAAGAAAAAUACACAAAUAUUACGUAAUUAACAUGUAGAUGUUGCAUUUCUAUUUUAGUUACGUACAUUUCUCUCAAAUGUAUAUACUCACUAAGAUGGUAUUAUAGUGCUUCUUUUAAUACCCGAUACUGAAGCAACUUACUAAAUUUACUGUCUCAAAAAACAAAUUGCAAUAUACUCCAGAAAAAGAAAAAAAAAAAAAAAAAGACAAUGAUAAGAUGCACAAAAAUAAAUUUGGGUUUUGGAGAGUUGUGAAGGCCUAAGUUUUCUUUUCCUAAAAGAAUUAUAAUUUAACAUUUUUUUAAACUAUGCCAUUAAAUUGUAUUUAUCAUGAACAGCAUCUUGAACACAAAGAAAUCAUUAAAGAGACAAAUAUUUUAUCUAACAAAUUUGAAAUACGUAUAUUUGUGAGCUAACAUAAGACUUAAAAGAAGGUAAUUGACAAUAGAAGGUGAAUAAUAUUUUAUUAAGUAUGGAGGUGUUUGAUUUUAUUUCCAAGUGGAGACAUGAAUUGUAUCUCUAGGAAGCUUGAAGAAACUAUUAUCAGUAAUAUCACAAGAAUGAAUAGUCUUACAAGAAAAACGUCCAAACAAAAACUUACUCUUCUUCACAACACCAACGUCGUUAUUAAUUCCUUUAUUUUUAACACUUUUAGUACACUCCUUAUAUGCCAGGAGAAAAGGAUCGUCCAGCUCCUCCUUGGCAGAGACAGCAUUAUUGCAGGGAGGCGGAAGGCGGCAGGGCGGUGGAGGAAUCUUAGAAGAAACUAGGUGGUCGAACUGAGAAGCGCCAUCUGGGUUUUUGUAAAUAGAAGAGGAGUGUAAGUGUAAGGCAAGGGCUUGAAAAUCCCGGAAUUUGGAAACCCCUGGGGGAUUUUGAUUAUGAUGGGGAAUAAUAUUUCCUUGGGAAAGGAGUUUUCUAUGACGAGUACUCAUAUUAAUAAUAACAACAAUAAUUGGAUGAUGAUAAGAUCAAAAUGAUAAUUGUGAAAAAGGGGAAGGCUCAUACAGUGGGAUUAAAAAGGGAGAGCAGGAAGAAGAAGAAGAAGAAGAAGAAGAAGAAGAAGAAGAAGAGAAGAAAAAAAGGGAAUGGUAGCUGGUGGGGUGUGACGUGAAGAGGAAGGGAAUUUGUUUGUUUAAUAAUUGAUAAGAGAAAUGGAAAGAAAAGGCGAUUUUGAUAAGGAGUUUGUUGAAGGAAUGGAUGGGGGUUUUAAUAUUUUAUAUUUUCUCAAGUACUUUGGGCGGUAAACGUGGAAUGUAGUUUCGUUUCCACAACUCAAUCGCUUUGGUUUUUUCUGCCAUCCCAAACCAAUUUAAAUAAUACUGUUUUUAUUUUGGAUUGCGAUUCUUAUUUGUAUUUUAUUUAUUUCAGUAUAUCAUUCUAUUUC